rnacentral:lncRNA from 1 species
CUCUCUAUGUGUUUUCACAGAAACCCAGGCCCAGGGAGAACAUUUACCCCUCUUCCUACAUUUCAGAGCUGAAAAUGUCGGAAUUGUCAUGGUAAUGCCCAUAGUUGAUGUGACAGAUACUGAGAAGGAAAAACACGCUUGCCACAUGUGAAAACUGCCUGGUUGGUUCUGCUCUGAGUGCCUCUCUGGAGGGCACAUUGAUGGAUUUGACAAUCACUUAAUUCUACUAGAGCCUGACCUUCAGUCUGGAAGUCAGAUAUACGCAGCAGAGACGUAGAUGAUAGCCGCAGGCUGCUGCUGGUGGGAAGCUGACAGAGUCCACUUUAAAGGACUGCCUUCAGUACCAUCUACAUUCUUCUACCUGGGACUGUGUGUGGCCAUGCGGACAGGCUCUCACCUUCACUAAACAAUUCAACUGCUGAAUUCCAACUAUCACGACAACCAUUUACACCAGUAAAAUGAACCAGAGAAGUCAGUGUAUCAGAACCUAAGACGGGAAAACUCUAUUGGAUUUCCUUUUACCUUAACUCUUAGAUUUUGGUGGCUCCUGGUCUUCUUAAGUGAGUGGCAGUAUGACUCCAAGCUUUUUCCUGUGUCUCCACAAGAAUUACAUGUGUCUGUGUUGUCUCCCCAGAGGCAGAGACGGAGAUUGACUGAACCACCAUUCAGAUGGUGCUAUUAAAUUCCAGGAGGUACUUCUGGUGGUGAGUUCUCCAUCACCACUCAGCAUUCCUAGCCAUCAGUCACUGGUGAACGAGGAGAGAGAGGGUGGGGAGAGGGGACCUGACAUACCACAUUCUGUUCAGCUCAUGACUUAGAGCUGAACAGCAGCGUGUGCUGGUACAGGGGCAGAUGAUCUGAUUCUGGCACUGGGAAUCUGUGUUUUAGGCAUCACUUUUAUAAUUUAAGUAAAACUGAGGAUUCAAAAACCA